CCAUUGUUCGACAUUCUAGAAGUGAAAAUGCCAUAUUUGCACAUUUGCAGCGCCCAAUUCAUGUUGAUUUCAGCUGCAGUCAGUUGAAAUAAUCUAGUUAGGCUUUUGAGAGUGAUCCAACGCCAUUGUUCGUCAUUCUCGAGGUGUUCGAUACAAGUUACAAUGCGCUUAGUGGCAAUGCCCUCUGGUUUAACUUCACGAUUUCCCUCAAAGUGUUGAGCAAUAAUUUCUCUACCUCAAUGGUGGUUCACGUUCGUAUGUAGGGAUGGUGUGGCGGAAGAGACGUGAUCCGUGAGUUUUGGACACGGAUAGCUUUGGUUUGUUGGUGCAUGUGGCUCCACCGCGACGACAUCGUCUUUGAGGGAGCGGCUCCUUCACCUCAUCACCUACGAUGGUGCUUAGUAAGAUCUAUGUUGAGGCAAAGUUGUGGAGAGUAGCCAACCUGUUUUGGACUAGUCUAGCAUUAGUGGACAGGUGGAGGUUGUGAGAGUAGGCUUUCUCGGGCGUGGCUGUCCUCGUGACAAUGUGGAUCUUGCGGUCUCGAUGCUUGUGUCGACCGUGUUGUAACUCGGCCUAUUGGUCUUCUCUUCUAUGUAACCGAUGCGCCUAUCCAUGACGUAUCCUUGAAAUGCUGCAUAUUCCUACUUCACUCAAGUAUCACAUCUCUUUAACCAUUCUGCUCAGGUAAAGAUCAAUUCUGCACUUUUAUCAUUUCACGAUUCAGGACAACUAAUUCUUCUGAGAGAGAAUGACUCCAGUUUGGUCCUAUGAGGCUCCACAGUGUUUCUCUGCAUUGAUGGACUUAUCUAUUUAUUAUUAUUAUUUACUACGUUUGAUCAUCAAUCAUGCAUAUGUGUCUUCCUCUUACAGCUUUUCUUCAGAUUCACCCACAUGAAGGAUCUCCGGUCAUUUUUGUGGGUUAUUGUCUUGAUAAAGAAGAUAAUCAUAUACUAAGAGCGCAACCACGCAGGUGUUUGGUUGGCUCUAUAUCAGAUUGUCCCUGCGAGUGAUAGUUGAAUGCUUCAGAUUGUAUAGAGGCCGUUACACAGGAUCUGAUUUCAGAUGAUUUUGCUAGAGAAGAUACAACGAGGAGAAGUUCUUCAAGAUAAAGUAAAACUCAAAAGCGGCACAGGUACUCAAGGAAUUUGCAGAAGGUCCGCUAGAACUCCUGGAAAGCCUUUUAUGUAGUUGAAUGCUUCAAAUUUUAUAGAGGCAAUUACACAGGGUAUGAUUUCAGAUGAUUUUUCUAGAGCAUAUACAACGAGGAGAGUUGUUCAGGUGUUGCAUUAGGGAGCCUUGAUACAGCGAAAGACGGAAGUAGCAGAGUUCAGACGAGAACGGAGAAUUCAUCCAGAAGUUUCGUAAAGAAACUUUGAUUCAAUAAGAGAUGGUAAUUCGUACAGCGAUUGGUGGCACAUUGACAUUGGGGCUCUGAAACUUGAAGAAAUUGAAGUAUUUGGACACCCGUGGCAACGACUUUGUCGGUGUUGCAUUAGGGAGCCUUGAUACAGCGAAAGACGGAAUGAGCAGACUUCAGACGAGAACGGAGAAUUCAUCCAGAAGUUUCGUAAAGAAACUUUUAUUCAAUAAAAGAUGGUAAUUCGUACAGGUAAGUGAACUCCCAAUUUGCGGCUACCCUUAUUCAUGGAAGUAGUAGUUGUCAUAACACUUGAGCAAGUUUGAACUUUUCAUGUUUUUUCUUUCAAAUAUUAAAUGGGAGGUUGCAGGAUUAACAAAGAAAUAAAAAAAAUGCGUUAACUUCGUGCAUAGUCUUAAAAGUUUCUAAAACUGUCUAAAAUUGUUAAAUUGGGCAUUUGGAAUGUUGACUUCUACAUCAAGGUCGAUGAUGACGUGCAUGUGAACUCAGGUGCAUUUUAUUUCUUCGAUAUUAUAGCCUUCUUUUGGAGAAAAAAAACCAACCCAGUUCGAUUUAUCACCUUAUCGUUAUGUUUUACAUGGAAAAAACAGGAAUACUUGCCACUACCCUUGCUCGUCAUAAAUUGAAACCAAGAACUUGCGUAGGCUGCAUGAAAUUGGGUCCAGUUCUUGCUGACAAGUAAUGCUAACUAAACUUUCUUGAAAUUAAAUGCUAGCUUGAGGUACAAACUACAAAUUUCCUGCUUGAAUCUGCUCUUGUCAUGUGGGAACUUGAAGUGCCAUGAACCUGAGUCCUGGAAAUUUGGGGAGGAUGGAAACAAGUACUUCCACCAUGCUACGAGAUAGAUAUAUGCCAUCUCAAAAGACCUUCCGACCUAUAUCUGAAUAAAUCAGUGUUGUGUCGAUGGUCAUAUAUUGUAAAAUAAUCCCCUGGAUACAAAUGAAGUAAAUCUAAUGGUUCAUAUGAUCUUUGGCAUGCCUAUCUUGUACAAGUAUGGAAAUGAAGAUGUAUCGUGGAACUCCACCAGGCCGUGGUUUAUUGGUUUAGAGGUUAAUCAUAUAGAUGAAAGAUACAUGUGCUGUGGAACUCCACCAGGUCUGUCUGCUUCCUCACCGCUGAACAACCCUUAUCAUACACUUCUCUAACUUUU